rnacentral:rRNA from 1 species
GAUGAACGCUGGCGGCGUGCCUAAUACAUCAAGUCGCGCGAACAGACGAGGAGCUUGCUCCUCUGACGUUAGCGGCGGACGGGUGAGUAACACGUGGAUAACCUACCUAUAAGACUGGGAUAACUUCGGGAAACCGGAGCUAAUACCGGAUAAUAUAUUGAACCGCGUGGUUCAAUAGUGAAAGACGGUUUUGCUGUCACUUAUAGAUGGAUCCGCGCCGCAUUAGCUAGUUGGUAAGGUAACGGCUUACCAAGGCGACGAUGCGUAGCCGACCUGAGAGGGUGAUCGGCCACACUGGAACUGAGACACGGUCCAGACUCCUACGGGAGGCAGCAGUAGGGAAUCUUCCGCAAUGGGCGAAAGCCUGACGGAGCAACGCCGCGUGAGUGAUGAAGGUCUUCGGAUCGUAAAACUCUGUUAUUAGGGAAGAACAAAUGUGUAAGUAACUAUGCACGUCUUGACGGUACCUAAUCAGAAAGCCACGGCUAACUACGUG